UAAUACGAAGGGGGCUAGCGUUGCUCGGAAUCACUGGGCGUAAAGCGCACGUAGGCGGGUUCUUAAGUCAGGGGUGAAAUCCUGGAGCUCAACUCCAGAACUGCCCUUGAUACUGAGAAUCUUGAGUCCGGGAGAGGUGAGUGGAACUGCGAGUGUAGAGGUGAAAUUCGUAGAUAUUC
rnacentral:rRNA from 1 species